rnacentral:sRNA from 1 species
GCUUCCAAUCAUUUCAGGCACAAUGAUCAUGUUC